rnacentral:tRNA from 1 species
GAUCGAUAUAGUGUAUUAAACACAGUAAGUUGUAAACUUAAAGAAGCAUAACAGGCUUUGAUUA